UUUGUUGUUAUGAUUUUUGUUCUAGAGAUGGUGUUUGGAAUGGCUAUCACAUGAAAUAUAUCAAAACUUUCGGUGCUAAUGAGAAUCGAAUUCAUCACAAAAAUUAUAAUAUCAUUUAUCACUUUUGUUUCAAAUUUAGUGGAGGACGGAUGAUUGAAUAAAACCCAACCAACAGCUACAGCUUCUGGAUAUAUGUUUCCAAAUGCAUCUGCAAAAGUUCAAAAGUUCUUAACGUACUGGGCACAGAAUGGGGAACACGUUGCUCCAAAUGACAUAACUUGUAAAACAUAUACGUCAGCUUCUUGAUCUUUUUUGCGGUCUCUCCAAAGAAUCCGUUUUUUUCCUUCUCUGAAGCGUAAAGCUACUCCUUGAAUCGGCUCAUUUAUAUCUGGUCCUGAUAAAAGUUCAGAGUUAAAGGAUAUUCCAUUAAUUUUUGCUGCUGCGUCAAACACUAGACGGGGCUUUGCCUUGUUUGGAUUUAUAACUACGAAGUGAGGUAGGUAGAAUGUCCUUGGUGAUGUUUUUCUAGGACUGGUGGUAUCCAACGGGGGAAAAUGAUCGGAAAUGGUGAGUGAAGCUAAGCAAUCAUGUGAAAAAAAAUUUCCCCCAGAGGCGAGACUCGAACUCGCAACCUUUGAGACUCCGGCCCAAUGCACUAACCCUUAUGCUAUCCCUGGGUAUGGUGACAUCCCAGAAAUAACAUAUGGUUAUCCCACUGGCGACAGUGAUCGUACCCUGCCUGCAAAGCGAGAAUCACACACAACGGCAGCAGAUCACCACAACACAUUUGAUCUAUUUAAUUUCCCCGCUAGAUACCAAGGCCCGGGUUUUUAUUAUCGUGUGAUGUCUAAUUUUUAGUUCAUUACCCAUCGUACUUCGGUGGGUGACAAAGCUAAUGAAGACUGUCGAUUUCUGGUCCCUUGCCCAGUGAACAGAGGUAUGACGGGAGCGAACCCGCCCGUUCUAAUUAAACUAAUAAUUCAAUUUUUUGGUCUUUUGACUUAAGUGCCAAUACCUUAUUUAGGACUGGUGGUAUCCAACGGGGAAAAACGAUCGGAAAUGGUGAGUGAAGCUAAGCAAUCAUGUGAAAAAUCAUCAUGUUUUGCCUUUCUCAUAUAGAAAGGUUAUGCAAUCACUCUGAAAAACGUCAACCUAAUCCCAGCCGAUGGGAAGGUUGCACCUUUUAUUUGAGACUAAGUUUGGGCAAAUCGGUCCAGCCAUCUCUGAGAAAAAUGAGUGACAUUAUUUGACACAUACGCACAUACAUACACACACAUACAUACACACAUACACACAUACACAUAGACAUACAUACACACACACAU